rnacentral:rRNA from 1 species
UACGAAGGGGGCUAGCGUUGCUCGGAAUCACUGGGCGUAAAGCGCACGUAGGCGGAUUGUUAAGUCAGGGGUGAAAUCCUGGAGCUCAACUCCAGAACUGCCUUUGAUACUGAGGAUCUUGAGUCCGGGAGAGGUGAGUGGAACUGCGAGUGUAGAGGUGAAAUUCGUAGAUAUUCGCAAGAACACCAGUGGCGAAGGCGGCUCACUGGCCCGGUACUGACGCUGAGGUGCGAAAGCGUGGGGAGCAAACAGG